rnacentral:lncRNA from 10 species
CUUUCUCUCUUCGCCUGCUGCCGUCCAUGUAAGAUGGGACUUGCUCCUCCUUGCCUUCCACCAUGAUUGUGAGGCUUCCUCAGCCACGUGGAACUAUGCCCUGACCUUCCGGGAAACCCUCGGUGAGAGGCCCACAGCCUCGCUUCUAGGGUCACCACUGCUUCUUCCAGUCUAGCCAAACAGCUCCUAGUACAGCUCAGAGCACCCUGCAAGGAGGGCACGUGUUAAAUCGAGGAGCACACAUGCUCCACGAGGAAUUCUUUGCUUUGAGGCCAUGCACAGAGGUGGGUUCACUAUGAAGCUUGUGAAAUAAGCUUCAGGGCCCGCAUUUGCAUGGGCCACAGAGAGUCUGGGAGCUGCAGAAGGUUCAAGGGAAGAGGAGCCAUCACAAGCAGAAUAUUCUAGAAGGCAUUUCUGGCAAAUGGCCCAAAGAGGCCUCAGGAGAAAAGAACUUGAGUCUUCAAGGAUGCAAUGAGAAGGCACCAUCUGUGAGGAACAGGCCUCCGACAGACACCGAAUUUGCUGGCACUUUGAUCUUGGACUUCCCAGCCUCCAAAAUUAUCCAUAAUGGAUUCCUGGGACAUUUUCAGAUCUCCUUCCAGCUUCCUCUUCGCCCUUUCCAAGUCCGCCCGCAGUUUCUUCUCCUGCUCUAAGGAACCCUCAAGCUGAGAAGACACACAGAGACAAGGGCUUGCUCUGUUGCCCAAGCUAAAGUGCAGUGGUGUGAGUGUAGCCCACUGCAUCCUCACACUCCUGUGCUCAAGUGAUCCUCCCACCUCAGCCUCCCAAGUAGCUGGAACUACAAGGAAACAACCCAAUUUGCCAUCUUAAUUUGGAGUCUACUUUUUCUGAAUGACUCAGUUUUCUCUGAUACUUAAUCAAGAUGCAGCCUUGGGGGAAAAUGUCAUGUCCCAGUCUCCCCCAUGUUCCUUUCCCUUCAUCCCACUUUGUCCCCGGGGUCUAGCAUGACUGUGUGUUUGGAUUGGGGAAGUGAAGGCA